GCGAAAGCGUUGGGAGCAAACAGGAUUAGAUACCCUGGUAGUCCACGCUGUAAACGAUGUCGAUUGGAGGUUGUGCCCUUGAGGCGUGGCUUCCGGAGCUAACGCGUUAAAUCGACCGCUUGGGGAGUACGGCCGCAAGGUUAAAACUCAAAUGAAUUGACGGGGGCCCGCACAAGCGGUGGAGCAUGUGGUUUAAUUCGAUGCAACGCGAAGAACCUUACCUACUCUUGACAUCCAGAGAACUUUCCAGAGAUGGAUUGGUGCCUUCGGGAACUCUGAGACAGGUGCUGCAUGGCUGUCGUCAGCUCGUGUUGUGAAAUGUUGGGUUAAGUCCCGCAACGAGCGCAACCCUUAUCCUUUGUUGCCAGCGGUUCGGCCGGGAACUCAAAGGAGACUGCCAGUGAUAAACUGGAGGAAGGUGGGGAUGACGUCAAGUCAUCAUGGCCCUUACGAGUAGGGCUACACACGUGCUACAAUGGCGUAUACAAAGAGAAGCGACCUCGCGAGAGCAAGCGGACCUCAUAAAGUACGUCGUAGUCCGGAUUGGAGUCUGCAACUCGACUCCAUGAAGUCGGAAUCGCUAGUAAUCGUAGAUCAGAAUGCUACGGUGAAUACGUUCCCGGGCCUUGUACACACCGCCCGUCACACCAUGGGAGUGGGUUGCAAAAGAAGUAGGUAGCUUAACCUUCGGGAGGGCGCUUACCACUUUGUGAUUCAUGACUGGGGUGAAGUCGUAACAAGGUAACCA
rnacentral:rRNA from 1 species